GAGGUCGCCGGUUCGAGUGACGCUU
rnacentral:siRNA from 1 species